rnacentral:rRNA from 1 species
UACGGAGGGUGCAAGCGUUAAUCGGAAUUACUGGGCGUAAAGCGUGCGUAGGCGGUUCGUUAAGUCUGUUGUGAAAGCCCCGGGCUCAACCUGGGAAUGGCAAUGGAUACUGGCGAGCUAGAGUGUGUCAGAGGAUGGUGGAAUUCCCGGUGUAGCGGUGAAAUGCGUAGAGAUCGGGAGGAACAUCAGUGGCGAAGGCGGCCAUCUGGGACAACACUGA